rnacentral:rRNA from 1 species
GAGUUUGAUCUUGGCUCAGAUUGAACGCUGGCGGCAUGCCUUACACAUGCAAGUCGAACGGCAGCAUGAUCUAGCUUGCUAGAUUGAUGGCGAGUGGCGAACGGGUGAGUAAUACAUCGGAACGUGCCCUGUAGUGGGGGAUAACUAGUCGAAAGAUUAGCUAAUACCGCAUACGACCUGAGGGUGAAAGUGGGGGACCGCAAGGCCUCAUGCUAUAGGAGCGGCCGAUGUCUGAUUAGCUAGUUGGUGGGGUAAAGGCCCACCAAGGCGACGAUCAGUAGCUGGUCUGAGAGGACGAUCAGCCACACUGGGACUGAGACACGGCCCAGACUCCUACGGGAGGCAGCAGUGGGGAAUUUUGGACAAUGGGGGCAACCCUGAUCCAGCAAUGCCGCGUGUGUGAAGAAGGCCUCGGUU